UACGUAGGGGGCGAGCGUUGUCCGGAAUUAUUGGGCGUAAAGAGCGUGUAGGCGGUUCGGUAAGUCCGCCGUGAAAACCUGGGGCUCAACCCUGGGCGUGCGGUGGAUACUGCUGGGCUAGAGGAUGGUAGAGGCGAGUGGAAUUCCCGGUGUAGCGGUGAAAUGCGCAGAUAUCGGGAAGAACAUCGGUGGCGAAAGCGCUCUGCUGGACUGCAACUGACACUCAGGGACGAAAGCUAGGGGAGCGAAUGGG
rnacentral:rRNA from 1 species